rnacentral:lncRNA from 1 species
GAAAAUUCCCCUCCUUCUGCAGUUCAUGGUGUUCUUCUAAACUAUUUAUAAAUAGGUCUACUGUAGCCAGUGUUUGCAUUUGGACUGCUUCACUGUUCUCGUUUUCAAGGCUUCUCUUAGAUCUGACAGUAAAGGUCAUGUUGACUCCCCUCAUCUGAAAUGAAGAGGGGAAGAAAAUUAACCCUGUAGUCAGGUGGCUCAAAGGCAGUAAUUCCCAUCAACGUGAGCAAGUUCUCCGUCGUGCGUGGCUGGGGCAGAGCGCCGGACCCACUCUCCCUUUUGCUCCAUUUUCGUUUCCCUGCCCUCUCCAUUAGCUGCUGACAGUUUUAGCUUCCUACGUCCAUUUAAAGAGAUUCCCCCCGCACAUCAUCUGGGAUUCAUGAACUGCAGAGAUCUGGCAGGACUCAGAUACCUCUUUUCUUGGAGCAGCUCAGCAGAAGAACAGAAAGAUGUCAUUUCUGGCAUGGAUCACCCAGCGGCACGUCCCUGGAAGAUGGACUGGUGCUCAGGUGCUGAGGUUUCAGGUCAGACAGAACCCAUGGGGAUGCUUCUUCAUGCACCAGCCUGGCUCCAUCCAGCUCGCCAGCACCAAAAGGAGGCAUCCGACCCCCCCACGGCACAGGUACAUGCGGCCACAUCACCCCAUGCCAGCUCCUGAGCUCCUUGACCCCAACCCCAGAGCUAAAUUUGCUGAUUAUCUGGUAGAAAACUGAGCAAGGAAGUAAAGCUUUGAUAGAUUUUUUUUUUGCACCAGCUCUUGCCAAUGCCCAACCUGGUGCGAGGGGGUGGUGAGGCUGGGACCAGUGGGAUGUGGGGUGCUUGUGAAAUCCCUUACCCUGGGGGCACUCUGAUAAAACAGCAGACCAUUUCCCAACACCCCCCUGAUGGGAGGGCGAGGAAAUGAGUUAGGGCUGCAUCCCUCACCCAGGACACCGCAGGAUGAGCUCCACGUAAGCCUCUUCCCCUCCCCUCUGACUCAGCUCCCGUGCUAUGCUCGGCUUUUCACUCUUUCCUCAGGCAACUCCGCUGCUUGUCCUGCUCCUGCUGACUCUUUCGCUGACUGGCAGCAGCCUGGUGUUGCUCAACGCUCCCAGUACGUGUCUGUGCCCACCUGAGUGCAGGAUACGGCCUCCCCCUGCCCAUCACAACGGGGGCCAUCGCCCACUCUCCAUCACACCACAUCCCUCCACAUGUGAAGCCUAAAAGUUUUGGGGCACGUGUAGAAAUGGUGAGAAGGUGAUGGAACACCGUCAGGGGUUCGAUAACACGUGAUAUGCUCCCAGCAGACCAGCACGACAGCUCAGGGAGCAGAUACUGCAACGUGUUAAGUCAUUUAUUUGAUGAUGAGGCAGAGAAAGCCAAGAGGACUAGCCUAGAGGAAAGCCUCAUUGCUAUGUGGUGAUGUUUCAAAAUUCCCCUUUUUGUUCUUCCAGCAGCCCAAGAACCUUGUUGGCUUUUCAGACGUGAUCAGGACACUGCUCAGCAUGGGACGGGUGGGGAUGCCACACUUCCAUGACGAGCCAGGAGAGGCCAUGCUAGCCAGGGUUUGCACAGUAGCCCCAGCAGGCUUUGCAGAUGGAAGCUGUUUUAGGAUAAUUUGGUGUCUUUCUAUUCUGCAGAUUUCUUAACGUGUGUGUGAGCAAGCAAUUGGCUGCUGGGACAGGAAGAUGUGACCGUGCAGGCCCUUUGCAGCACUGAAAGCAAACCUGGUGCAGGUUUGUUCACAAGCUGGUGAGUGCUUGAAGAUCCACCCAUGCUUGGUUAUCCUGAAGAGCUGCUCCUGGCAGCAGGUGACACCUACCAGGAGAGACACUUCCCCAUUCCUCCGUACCCGUGGCAGACAUCUCUGCUCCCUAGAGGCUGUGACCAUCACGCAGCCGCAUAAAUAAAGGUGGAUGCAGCGAGACCCAGCACCAUCAGAGCUGACCGCACACGAGGCAACUCACGUCUGGAAGCAGUCAGGCUCUGCUGAGCCCCAGAAGGCACAUGGGUGAGUUACCUUAUCGUAAGCAGCCUAGACUUAAAUUAAACAUGGUUUAUAAGCAGAGGCAUAACGGAGGCAUAUUGGGAGGUUAUGUGCCAUUAUAGGGUGCCCUUGGGAUAUGCUCAUGUGGGUCUCCACCAAUGUGGAGAUCCUGUACUGUGCUCAGUUGUGGGGCUGCUGAGGAGCCCUCCUUGUCCAGCAGCUACAGACGGAUGGCUUUGUGGGUGAUGAUUUGCUUACAUGGGCUUCUGCAUUCAUUGUAUAGAAUAAAUAAUUUACCUCUAAUGUUUGGGAUUUGUAGGGCUUCAGCAGUUAAUUUAGAAGAGCCAGGAGGUGCUGUUUUGUCUAGAAGUGAAUUCUGAACUUAUUAUCUUAAAGUAAAUUCCCUUUCUGCAGGAAGUGCUGGUGUUGCUGCUCUUUGUCCCAGAACUGAGUGAAGUAAAAAAAAAAAAAAAAAAAAAAAAACCAAAAAACUGACAUUUUCUGUGGAAGAGCAAGUCAAGCUCUCAACCAUCUCUUUUCUUUUGCCUUGCUAUAGGCUUUAAGUUUCAUAGCAUCCUUCCCCAUCAAGGGGAAAAAAUCUACACAGGUUUGACAAAGGGCAGAAAACAAUGUUGAGUGGCACUUAGCUCUAAAGGAUGUCUUAAUUUUUUAUGGAAAUUUUCCAAAUUGUAAAACAAGACACCAACCGCCUUAGAUAAGGAAAUAAUCUCUCUUUUCCCACGGGGUGCUGAAAACUGCCCGGCGUAAAAA